rnacentral:miRNA from 1 species
GAGUACAGGCAGCUGGUUGGUGCUAGCUGCCUCUACGUCCCCCAAGAUGACCUGUAGGUCAGCCUUGGGCCUGCUGC